rnacentral:lncRNA from 1 species
CUGGUGGAAUAACAUCUCAGACGGGUAUGUGCCAUAAGAAAUUAAGAAUGUUCUUACAAUUAUUUGGGCCAUAUCUACCUUUCCUUGUCAUAAGCCAGGUUGGCCCGGCUAUUGCAAUCCCAUGAAGUUCAUCAUCUGUUAACUUUCAAAAAUUUGAUUAUAAGAUGAUGAACUCGGAACAAAGUCUGACCAAACGCAAUUAUCUUUACAAGUAUCUACUUGUAUGCAACAUUUAAAAAAAAUAACAUACCUCCCUCCCCCUUUUUCCACGCCACCCCCUCAUCCCCCAACCCAAAUGUUACAUUAUAUAUUAUAUUUAUUAAACAAUCUGAAGAAAAAAACC